rnacentral:rRNA from 1 species
AUUGGCGAACAAUACUCUUUAAGUUUGACCUCAAAUCAGGUAGGAAUACCCGCUGAACUUAAGCAUAUCAAUAAGCGGAGGAAAAGAAACCAACCGGGAUUGCCUCAGUAACGGCGAGUGAAGCGGCAAAAGCUCAAAUUUGAAAUCUGGUACCUUCGGUGCCCGAGUUGUAAUUUGUAGAGGGAUACUUUGUGGGCUGGUCCUUGUCUAUGUUCCUUGGAACAGGACGUCAUAGAGGGUGAGAAUCCCGUGUGGCGAGGAAUUCAGUUCACAUGUAAAGUGCCUUCGAAGAGUCGAGUUGUUUGGGAAUGCAGCUCUAAGUGGGUGGUAAAUUCCAUCUAAAGCUAAAUAUUGGCGAGAGACCGAUAGCGAACAAGUACAGUGAUGGAAAGAUGAAAAGAACUUUGAAAAGAGAGUGAAAAAGUACGUGAAAUUGUUGAAAGGGAAGGGCAUUUGAUCAGACAUGGUGUUUUGCGCCCUCUGCUCCUUGUGGGUGGGGGACUCUCGCAGUUCACUGGGCCAGCAUCAGUUUUGGCGGUAGGAUAAAUCCUUAGGAACGUGGCUUGCCUCGGCAAGUGUUAUAGCCUAGGGGAAUACUGCCAGCCGGGACUGAGGACUGCGACUUUUAGUCAAGGAUGCUGGCAUAAUGGUUAUAUGCCGCCCGUCUUGA